rnacentral:rRNA from 1 species
GAUGAACGCUGGCGGCGUGCCUAAUACAUGCAAGUCGAGCGAACAGACGAGGAGCUUGCUCCUUUGACGUUAGCGGCGGACGGGUGAGUAACACGUGGAUAACCUACCUAUAAGACUGGGAUAACUUCGGGAAACCGGAGCUAAUACCGGAUAACAUGUUGAACCGCAUGGUUCAACAGUGAAAGACGGUCUUGCUGUCACUUAUAGAUGGAUCCGCGCCGCAUUAGCUAGUUGGUAAGGUAACGGCUUACCAAGGCAACGAUGCGUAGCCGACCUGAGAGGGUGAUCGGCCACACUGGAACUGAGACACGGUCCAGACUCCUACGGGAGGCAGCAGUAGGGAAUCUUCCGCAAUGGGCGAAAGCCUGACGGAGCAACGCCGCGUGAGUGAAGAAGGUCUUCGGAUAGUAAAACUCUGUUAUUAGGGAAGAACAAAUGUGUAAGUAACUAUGCACGUCUUGACGGUACCUAAUCAGAAAGCCACGGCUAACUACGUG